UGUCACCUGACUGCAAUUAAGUAGUUGGUCAGGGCUUCAGUUUCUUCUGAAGCUUUGAUUGGGAAAGGACCUAUUUUCAGUGUUAAGUGAUUGUCAUAAUUUAGGUCCUUGUGGUCUAUUGACUUAGGGCCCCAAGUUCCAGCUGGCGCUGGGCUGGAGGGCCACUCUCUGUUCUGUGCCAUGUAAAUCUUUCCAAUAUGGCUACUUGUUUCAUCCACAUAUGCAAAGAAAGAAGACAAUAGAGGGAGUUUGCUAACAAGAAAGGAGUCUCGAUCUCUUACCUACUCAUCAAGGUAACAUUUUUUUUUAAUGCACUAGAAAAUGACAUGUCUUUGUUAU
rnacentral:lncRNA from 1 species